UUCUUUUUAGUUUUGCUUUAUUUUUUCAUCUUCUUUUGCAUGCGUAUCAUUGAUGAGUAUGCCUGAUUUAGUAAUGGACUAAUGCAAUUAAGCUUUAGAGGUACUGUUCUGUUUUACGACUCUUUUCUUUUUAUUUUUUAUUUUCUUUUAUUUAAUUCACGGAGAUACUCUUUGCCCGGGUUUUACAGAUUGAUUGUUAUAGACACGAACAAAUCCGUUUGAUUUCCAUUAACAUAUUCUACUUAGUUGACCUGUGUUUGGGGCUUAAAACUCUUUCUGGUGUUUAUGAUAAGUUAGGGUAGCUCCAUCCAAUUUUUUAAGAUGAAAUUAUUUUAAUUAAGCACUGUUAUCAUAGCUUAUGCUCAUUCUGAAGUUGAGAAUCACUUCCCUAGAAAGUUAUCUUCCUUAGGCUCGAGAUCUCUCUGAUAGCAGAAAUUCAUGAUGUGUUUUACGUUGCCAGGUCCAACCUGAAGAAUGUGACGAGUCGAUGCCAUUGUUUUAAAAUUAUUGGCUGAAGGGUCAUAAUCCCCAUGUUUAGAGCCACAUGUUCUCGAAACAUCUAAUAUAUCGAUGAUCACUGCCAACAAUUUGGUUUAAUGAUUCUAUUUUAUAUUUCAUGAUGAUGGUGCAAAUAUUGAAAUUGUUUCAUGUUUUAGACCGGUUUUUCUAGCAUCUCAAUAGGAAAAUAUUAAACAAAAAUAAAAAAAAUAUUGCCCCCUUUUGGGCAGCAUGAAUGUCCAAGAGUCGAGAAUUUUUGUUGGUUGAAAAUUCUCUUGUUAAACUGGAGUGAAGUAGUUAUAUAUCUGUAAUAUCAUCAAUGAUAGUAAUUUGAGAGAUUGAACCCAAAAGUCCGACCCCCCGUCUUCGUUGAUCACCAGAAAAAAUAUAUUCCACUUCGAGCUCUAUGCGUGCCAUAUUUCAUAACCUGCUAAGGUGGAAAUUUUUGCAAGGUGUUAGUCUAGCAGAUCAAGCAAAUAUCCCCAAAGGCACUGAGCAAAUAUAUCAUUGAUGUGGUAUAUCAUCCCAUAGUCAUGUAGAAUCUAAGUAACCAAACACUUACUUUUCAAGUUAUCAAUCUUUCUGCAGCAUUUAUUUUCUCACCAUUUCAGGUUUGAGAGACAAAUUGAAAGGAUUGCCUACAAAAUCUGAAGGAUAACCUUUAUUUUUCUCAGAGAUCAGGUGGCCAUGGGUUGGACAUUAUAUUAGUUGUACAGCAAAUAACAUAAUCUGCCAUUGGAUCUAGUUUAUUUGACAUGUUGGCAAAACACACGUAAUAGUUGGGGGGCAUGUCAAAUUUGCAUUUGCCUCCUUUGAGGUCUGUCGAAAUUUACAUUUGGCUCCUGAUGGCCACCGAAAUAUGGUUGGUAAUAAUUUUACUUACCAUUUGGAUUUAAAUCAUUUUUAUUUUAAAUAAUUUGAUAUUUCCAACUUAUAUCAUCACCAAUCUAUUACUCCUCACGUUGUUGGAAGUUUUUGUUAUUUUUCUUAGAAUUAGACUCAGCAUUUUGCUUAUUGCGAGGACAAACAUGAUUUUUAGAUUUAAGGUGGAAAUGGGGGAAUCGCGGGGGGGGGGGGGGUAGCUAUUUCCUUAGAUUUUAUGUAUAAAUCUACGCUAAUUUGGGUAUAUUUGUUUUUAGUGCCUUGCGUAUGACUGGUGUGUACGAAUUUCCAAUUUAACAGAGGCUCAUGUGUAAUUUGAAACAAGGGAAUGUGGUGUCACUCAGAACCUCAAAGGAGAUCAAUGCAAACUGUCCUUAACAAUAAUCAUAUAUUUUUCUUCCUGUUGCUUAUUUUCUUGAAUUAUGGAAAUUUAAAUGAAAAGAUGGUGAAGAAGUUUGGCUGCAAUAAUUUUAAUAUUUAUCCUUUUCAACUUAGUGUGCUGUAUGGUUUUAUUUACAUGUAAAACGACUUUCUGAUCUAUAAGUCUGAUAACCUUUUACCCGUAAGGUUAGUGGUUUCUUUUGGUUGUUAAUGACGCACAAAUGUAAUCUCCUUGUCAAGUUGGAAAAAUCAAUUUGAAAUACUAUAUAUGCAUUUUUCUCAGUGAUUCAAAACUAAUAGAAGCCAAUUUGGAGUAUUGCAUACCAGAGUGCUUGCUCUUUGUUUGGAUUGUUUACAUACAGUAGUAAAGUUGGCUCUAUUUAGGUGGGGUUCUUUAAACUCUUUCCUGUAGUUUUCUUAGGUGGGGUGCUAUGCAUAUGCUUUUCUUUCUUUUUUUUCUUUUUUCUUUUUUUUUUUAAUAAGAGAUAAAUAUUAUUGAUAUGAAUGAAAUAGGCAUGGUGCUAUGCAUAUUCUGAUACAUAUAAAGCCUGGAUAAGAGCUUCUUGCAAACAAAUUUGGAGGUAAGCGCUUGUUAAAGGUUUUUUAAGGAAUUUAGAACUCAUUUUCAAUGUGUAAAUCAGUUCGCAUCUUCUAUUGAAAAGUUUGCUUUCUCAUUACUAUGUGGAUGCUAGUUUAAUGCCUGUUUACGCCACUGCAAUCUGUUACCUAUAAAGUAUAAUCAACCAUUUGCUAGUUUUGCUCCCUUUUCAAUCUUAUAGAAAAUUAGUUAAUAAGCAACUGUGCAUGACUUGCUUAAGAAGAAAGUGAAGUGUCAUAGUCACUAUCUCCCUUUAAUGUUUUUCAGCAUUAAAAAAGGAUGAAGAAAACGAAAUAAAGGUCUGUAUUGCUAGGUAUAUACCUGGAACUUCAAUAGAAGUAGAAACAAGUGACAUCUUAUGAACAAAAAUAAGUUUCAACAAAUUUGGUUUGUUUGAUGUCCAUUUAUUUACCUGGACCUUGUUAGGGUACAAGACCUUAAAAAAAUAGCUGAGGACUAAAGCUGAUUAGUUAUACCCUAUCUCAAAACGAGGUUUAGUUUCUUAUUUUUAAUUGUUUCUUGAAUAAUUUUUUAAUAAAUAUAGAUAUUAUUCAAUUUCAAGAAGUGGUAAAAUUCCAGAAAGUAGCAUAUAGACGUGUGAAUGUGUUAUUAUUGUAUUGGCUCUUGCUUGAGAAAGGAAAUCACUUCUAAAAAUUCUAUUACUACAGCUGCAAUUAUUUGCCAUGAGGAAAAGGUAAAGACUUGGGACUUCUAUACUUAGUUGGUUAAAGCAGUUCUUGUAAAGUUUUGAUCAUUCCUCUAGUUCCAGGAAUUUAGAGCAAUCACACGGAACACGGCCACGCAACAUAAAUUUCCAAAAAUUUCUGCUUGGUCAUGUACAAAAGAAAUUGGUCUUCAUCUUGUUGGAUUCCGACUGAAUAUCGCAAACUUUUAAAUUCCCUCAACAAAAGUUUACUGAAUCACAUUUCUUUGAAAUGAAAUACAAGAUAUUUUUCCCUCUGCUGUUUCUUGUGGUCAGAGGCUAGUCUUUGUAAUUUAUGUUUACAGAAUGAUAUGGUAUAUAGAUCUUUUAUUGAUCAACACCCGGGUCAAAGUUCCAGAUUUUGGAGACAGAAGAAGAUAAUUGUGGAAGGGGCUCAAUACCACUACGAGGCCCGUUGGGCUGACCAGUGGGCCUGGGUUACAAGUUGGGCUACUAACCUAAGGUCCCAUGAGAACUUGAUCCAUCCUCAGAGCCCAGUCCAUCUUAAACAUCGGGAGAAUAACUGUCUGAGAAUCCUCCAGGUGAUCGUGGGUGAGUAGUAGUGAAACGCGUCCACAACAAAUUGAUUUCUACAAAAAGUUAUCCAAGCCAUACAACACCGGAUUCUGCAAGAAUAAUGAACUUUUGGAUGACCAAAAUGCUUGAAGACUUUAAAACAUGGAAGGGAAUUUGAUUGGUUACCUUGAGUCGCACGACCUUUCUGAUGGCCAAGAUUAGGCCUGUCAUGAGACAUUGCACAUCACUGAUACUAUGUUUGAGAGAGAAUCUGUGGUAAGCAGUUUUAUGGAUUAAAUUGCUAUUGUAUUAAAGAUGCACCAUUAGAGUCCUUGCUUCUGAAAACAAGAAAAGGAAAACCGCUCACAAUCCUCUCCUGGGCCUGAGAAGUGGACUGUUGUAGAUUAGGGGCCCAAAAUCUUUUUUUUAUAUAUAUAACUUUCUAGUUUUACACUC